AUUGAACGCUGGCGGCAUGCUUUACACAUGCAAGUCGAACGGCAGCGCGGGGGCAACCUGGUGGCGAGUGGCGAACGGGUGAGUAAUGCAUCGGAACGUGCCAUUGAGUGGGGGAUAACGUAGCGAAAGUUGCGCUAAUACCGCAUAUUCUGUGAGCAGGAAAGCAGGGGACCGCAAGGCCUUGCGCUCUUUGAGCGGCCGAUGUCAGAUUAGCUAGUUGGUGAGGUAAAGGCUUACCAAGGCGACGAUCUGUAGCGGGUCUGAGAGGAUGAUCCGCCACACUGGAACUGAGACACGGUCCAGACUCCUACGGGAGGCAGCAGUGGGGAAUUUUGGACAAUGGGCGCAAGCCUGAUCCAGCCAUGCCGCGUGAGUGAAGAAGGCC
rnacentral:rRNA from 1 species